AUGCUCACUUUCGCAGCACAUAUACUAAAAUUGUAACAAUACAGAAAAAAAUUAGCAUGGCCCCUGAGCAAGGAGGACAUGUAAAUCCAAGAAACAUUCCAUAUUGAA